AGCUUCCCUCAGGCUGGACGCAGUUUCUGAGGGUCCUUCCGGUUCACACCCUCCGAGACUCCGUGAUCCUCUGGGCUAUGGAGCGAGGAACCCUGGGUCUUUGUGCACGUGUCUGUUUGAGCGGUAGCGUCUACAAAUUUACAUAUAUCUGCAUGUCAUUAACAUAGAGGCGGGGCCGGAACUUGUUUGGGCAACUAUCCCUGGACAGUUCCCUUUGCUUCCUCUCUCAUCCCGCCUGAAGGGCACGUGGGCAGCGCAUGCAGCCCAGCUCCUCUCAGGACCCAACCAAAGCAAAUCAACAUCCUCUGCAGCUCAAGACUUGACAACUAAACACCAGGAAGAACUUCCAGAUGUCAGGAUUCGAGGCAAAGGAUGAGGACUAUUCGUUUGCCUGUUUGUCCUUGGAGGCUGGAGGCCAGUAUCUGGUUAUUUCUUGGAUUGGAUUCCUAAAAGUAGAUUAACAAGAUCAAG